rnacentral:rRNA from 1 species
AUUGAACGCUGGCGGCAGGCCUAACACAUGCAAGUCGAGCGGAUGAAGGGAGCUUGCUCCUGGAUUCAGCGGCGGACGGGUGAGUAAUGCCUAGGAAUCUGCCUGGUAGUGGGGGAUAACGUCCGGAAACGGGCGCUAAUACCGCAUACGUCCUGAGGGAGAAAGUGGGGGAUCUUCGGACCUCACGCUAUCAGAUGAGCCUAGGUCGGAUUAGCUAGUUGGUGGGGUAAAGGCCUACCAAGGCGACGAUCCGUAACUGGUCUGAGAGGAUGAUCAGUCACCCCUGAACUUAGAAACCGUCCCGACUCCUACGGGAGGCAGCCGGUGGGAAUAUUGGACAAUGGGCGAAAGCCUGAUCCAGCCAUGCCGCGUGUGUGAAGAAGGUCUUCGGAUUGUAAAGCACUUUAAGUUGGGAGGAAGGGCAGUAAGUUAAUACCUUGCUGUUUUGACGUUACCAACAGAAUAAGCACCGGCUAACUUCGUG